rnacentral:rRNA from 1 species
AUUGAACGCUGGCGGCAGGCCUAACACAUGCAAGUCGAGCGGAUGAAGGGAGCUUGCUCCUGGAUUCAGCGGCGGACGGGUGAGUAAUGCCUAGGAAUCUGCCUGGUAGUGGGGGAUAACGUCCGGAAACGGGCGCUAAUACCGCAUACGUCCUGAGGGAGAAAGUGGGGGAUCUUCGGACCUCACGCUAUCAGAUGAGCCUAGGUCGGAUUAGCUAGUUGGUGGGGUAAAGGCCUACCAAGGCGACGAUCCGUAACUGGUCUGAGAGGAUGAUCAGUCACCCUGGAACUGAGACACGGUCCAGACUCCUACGGGAGGCAGCAGUGGGGAAUAUUGGACAAUGGGCGAAAGCCUGAUACAGCCAUGCCGCGUGUGUGAAGAAGGUCUUCGGAUUGUAAAGCACUUUAAGUUGGGAGGAAGGGCAGUAAGUUAAUACCUUGCUGUUUUGACGUUACCAACAGAAUAAGCACCGGCUAACUUCGUG